rnacentral:rRNA from 1 species
AGAGUUUGAUCCUGGCUCAGGAUGAACGCUGGCGGCGUGCCUAAUACAUGCAAGUCGAGCGAACGGACGAGAAGCUUGCUUCUCUGAUGUUAGCGGCGGACGGGUGAGUAACACGUGGAUAACCUACCUAUAAGACUGGGAUAACUUCGGGAAACCGGAGCUAAUACCGGAUAAUAUUUUGAACCGCAUGGUUCAAAAGUGAAAGACGGUCUUGCUGUCACUUAUAGAUGGAUCCGCGCUGCAUUAGCUAGUUGGUAAGGUAACGGCUUACCAAGGCAACGAUGCAUAGCCGACCUGAGAGGGUGAUCGGCCACACUGGAACUGAGACACGGUCCAGACUCCUACGGGAGGCAGCAGUAGGGAAUCUUCCGCAAUGGGCGAAAGCCUGACGGAGCAACGCCGCGUGAGUGAUGAAGGUCUUCGGAUCGUAAAACUCUGUUAUUAGGGAAGAACAUAUGUGUAAGUAACUGUGCACAUCUUGACGGUACCUAAUCAGAAAGCCACGGCUAACUACGUGCCAGCAGCCGCGGUAAUACGUAGGUGGCAAGCGUUAUCCGGAAUUAUUGGGCGUAAAGCGCGCGUAGGCGGUUUUUUAAGUCUGAUGUGAAAGCCCACGGCUCAACCGUGGAGGGUCAUUGGAAACUGGAAAACUUGAGUGCAGAAGAGGAAAGUGGAAUUCCAUGUGUAGCGGUGAAAUGCGCAGAGAUAUGGAGGAACACCAGUGGCGAAGGCGACUUUCUGGUCUGUAACUGACGCUGAUGUGCGAAAGCGUGGGGAUCAAACAGGAUUAGAUACCCUGGUAGUCCACGCCGUAAACGAUGAGUGCUAAGUGUUAGGGGGUUUCCGCCCCUUAGUGCUGCAGCUAACGCAUUAAGCACUCCGCCUGGGGAGUACGACCGCAAGGUUGAAACUCAAAGGAAUUGACGGGGACCCGCACAAGCGGUGGAGCAUGUGGUUUAAUUCGAAGCAACGCGAAGAACCUUACCAAAUCUUGACAUCCUUUGACAACUCUAGAGAUAGAUCCUUCCCCUUCGGGGGACAAAGUGACAGGUGGUGCAUGGUUGUCGUCAGCUCGUGUCGUGAGAUGUUGGGUUAAGUCCCGCAACGAGCGCAACCCUU